rnacentral:rRNA from 1 species
UACGAAGGGGGCUAGCGUUGUUCGGAAUUACUGGGCGUAAAGCGCACGUAGGCGGAUACUUAAGUUAGGGGUGAAAUCCCAGGGCUCAACCCUGGAACUGCCUUUAAUACUGGGUAUCUCGAGUCCGAGAGAGGUGAGUGGAAUUCCGAGUGUAGAGGUGAAAUUCGUAGAUAUUCGGAGGAACACCAGUGGCGAAGGCGGCUCACUGGCUCGGUAACUGACGCUGGAGGUGCGAAAGCGUGGGGAGCAAACAGG